rnacentral:rRNA from 1 species
GCGACCCCAGGUCAGGCGGGACCACCCGCUGAGUUUAAGCAUAUAAAUAAGCGGAGGAGAAGAAACUUACAAGGAUUCCCCUAGUAACGGCGAGCGAACUGGGAUCUGCCCAGCUUGAGAAUCGGGUGGCAGCGCUGCCCGAAUUGUAGUCUGGAGAAGCGUCCUCAGCGACGGACCGGGCCCAAGUCCCCUGGAAAGGGGCGCCUGGGAGGGUGAGAGCCCCGUCCGGCUCGGACCC